UACAGAGGUCUCAAGCGUUGUUCGGAUUCAUUGGGCGUAAAGGGUGCGUAGGUGGCGCGCUAAGUCAGGUGUGAAAUCUCGGGGCUUAACUCCGAAACUGCAUUUGAUACUGGCGUGCUUGAGGACUGGAGAGGAGACUGGAAUUCAUGGUGUAGCAGUGAAAUGCGUAGAGAUCAUGAGGAAGACCAGUGGCGAAGGCGGGUCUCUGGACAGUUCCUGACACUGAGGCACGAAGGCCAGGGGGAGCAAACGGG
rnacentral:rRNA from 1 species